rnacentral:rRNA from 1 species
GACGAACGCUGGCGGCGUGCUUAACACAUGCAAGUCGAACGGUGAAGCGCCUUCCUUUUUGGUGGGUGUGAUGAGUGGCGAACGGGUGAGUAACACGUGAGUAACCUGCCCCCUUCUUCUGGAUAACCGCAUGAAAGUGUGGCUAAUACGGGAUAUUCUGGGUCUGUCGCAUGAUGGGUCUGGGAAAGAUAUUGUUUCGGUGGGGGAUGGGCUCGCGGCCUAUCAGCUUGUUGGUGGGGUGAUGGCCUACCAAGGCGGUGACGGGUAGCCGGCCUGAGAGGGUGGACGGUCACACUGGGACUGAGACACGGCCCAGACUCCUACGGGAGGCAGCAGUGGGGAAUAUUGCACAAUGGGCGCAAGCCUGAUGCAGCGACGCCGCGUGAGGGAUGGAGGCCUUCGGGUUGUGAACCUCUUUCGCCAGUGAAGCAGGCCUGCCUCGUUUGUGGGUGGGUUGACGGUAGCUGGAUAAGAAGCGCCGGCUAACUACGUG